rnacentral:rRNA from 1 species
CCUACGGGUGGCUGCAGUGAGGAAUAUUGGUCAAUGGACUAGAGUCUGAACCAGCCAAGCAGCGUGAAGGAUGACUGCCCUAUGGGUUGUAAACUUCUUUUAUAUGGGAAUAAAAUGUUCCACGUGUGGGAUUUUGUAUGUACCAUAUGAAUAAGGAUCGGCUAACUCCGUGCCAGCAGCCGCGGUAAUACGGAGGAUCCGAGCGUUAUCCGGAUUUAUUGGGUUUAAAGGGAGCGUAGGUGGAUUGUUAAGUCAGUUGUGAAAGUUUGCGGCUCAACCGUAAAAUUGCAGUUGAAACUGGCAGUCUUGAGUACAGUAGAGGUGGGCGGAAUUCGUGGUGUAGCGGUGAAAUGCUUAGAUAUCACGAAGAACUCCGAUUGCGAAGGCAGUUCACUGGACUGCAACUGACACUGAGGCUCGAAAGUGUGGGUAUCAAACAGGAUUAGAUACCCGUGUAGUC